UACGUAGGGUGCAAGCGUUGUCCGGAAUUAUUGGGCGUAAAGAGCUCGUAGGCGGUUUGUUGCGUCGGCUGUGAAAUCCCGAGGCUCAACCUCGGGUCUGCAGUCGAUACGAGCAAACUAGAGUGUUGCAGGGGAGACUGGAAUUCCUGGUGUAGCAGUGAAAUGCGUAGAUAUCAGGAGGAACACCGAUGGCGAAGGCAGGUCUCUGGGCUGACACUGACGCUCAUGCACGAAAGCGUGGGGAGCAAACAGG
rnacentral:rRNA from 1 species